GGUAAUUUUCAGGCUGGGUUGAAUCGCUCUUAUUCUUAUAAAUUUGUCAAACAAUACCGAUUAACCACUCAUCUGGAACAAACCCACUACCAAAUGUUAUUUUAAAAAACUUCUUACAUAAAGAAAUAGUCUCCCCUGUUAAAGAUCAACCAUGGCGUAUAUACAUUGCCGGAUGUCAUCUGGUCAUCAACAGAGAGUUUUGAUGCUAUAUUUCUACCAGUUACCUCUGUGACCUUUGUUAUGUUUAGCAGACAGGUGUGCAUGAUGCAAGUUCUUGGAUUGUGUGUAGUCUAUGAAAUUCACAUUUAUUCUAGGGAUCAGAACUUCCUUGCUGUCCCUGAGAGCAGACAAUAAUGGAAUUGAAAGCAGUUAUUUGCCCUACUUUAAUAAAGAAAAGAAGAAUUCAGCAUACAAUAGAUUCUUUUACCAAUGUGCCCCCUGGAAAAGGCUACUGGACACAAAUAUUAGCAUUAACAUAUGUGUACUUUAAUUUAGGACAAGUGAGUCAGAGAGGGAUUGUGACAUAGUGUAGAUUGCUGACACUUGUUGGAAGGAUACCUUUCAGUUACCUACAAUUCUACCAACUGGAAAAAUCAGUACCAAUGCCACUUGUGUUACUGGACUAUUAGUCGAGGAUGGAGUUCUUUAUUGAAACAGUUCUCAAGUACUGACUAACAGCUCGACUUCAUGAAUUUUACAAAACAGUGCUCAAGUAUUGACUUUCAUCGUAAUGGACUCCACAAAACGGUACUCUAGUACAGACUGUAUCUCUCCAUACCGAACUUCCUUCUUUUUUUUUUUACCUUAUUUGAUUAAAUUUAGCAAUUUUUGUGGUAGUACUCAUAACUGUAAAAAUUUAACUGAAUAAAAGAUUAACUGUGA